GCACUCGUGGCGAAUAGCUCAGUAACACGUGGCCAAACUACCCUUCGGAGCUCCAUACCCUCGGGAAACUGAGGCUAAUAGAGCAUACCACAAUCCAGCUGGAAUGAGGAUUGUGCCAAACGCUCCGGCGCCGAAGGAUGUGGCUGCGGCCGAUUAGGUAGACGGUGGGGUAACGGCCCACCGUGCCAAUAAUCGGUACGGGUCAUGAGAGUGAGAACCCGGAGACGGAAUCUGAGACAAGAUUCCGGGCCCUACGGGGCGCAGCAGGCGCGAAACCUUUACACUGCACGCCAGUGCGAUAAGGGAAUCCCAAGUGCGCAGGCAUAGAGCCUGCGCUUUUGUACACCGUAGGGAGGUGUACGAAUAAGGGCUGGGCAAGACCGGUGCCAGCCGCCGCGGUAAUACCGGCAGCCCGAGUGAUGGCCGAUCUUAUUGGGCCUAAAGCGUCCGUAGCUGGCCGCACAAGUCCAUCGGAAAAUCCACCCGCCCAACGGGUGGGCGUCCGGUGGAAACUGUGUGGCUUGGGACCGGAAGGCGCGACGGGUACGUCCGGGGUAGGAGUGAAAUCCCGUAAUCCUGGACGGACCGCCGAUGGCGAAAGCACGUCGCGAGGACGGAUCCGACAGUGAGGGACGAAAGCCAGGGUCUCGAACCGG
rnacentral:rRNA from 1 species